GCCGGAGUGGUGAAACUGGUAGACGCAGAGGACUCAAAAUCCUCCGGGCCUUGCGCCCUUGGGGGUUCGAUUCCCCCCUCCGGCACCA
rnacentral:tRNA from 1 species